CGGUAGAGAGAAGCUUGCUUCUCUUUGAGAGCCGGCGGACCGGGUGAGUAAUGCCUAGGAAUCUACCCUGGUAGUGGGGGAUAACGUUCGGAAACGGACGCUAAUACCGCAUACGUCGUACGGGAGAAAAGCAGGGGACCUUCGGGCCUUGCGCUAUCAGAUGAGCCUAGGUCGGAUUAGCUAGUUGGUGAGGUAAUGGCUCACCAAAGGCGACGAUCCGUAACUGGUCUGAGAGGAUGAUCAGUCACACUGGAACUGAGACACGGUCCAGACUCCUACGGGAGGCAGCAGUGGGGAAUAUUGGACAAUGGGCGAAAGCCUGAUCCAGCCAUGCCGCGUGUGUGAAGAAGGUCUUCGGAUUGUAAAGCACUUUAAGUUGGGAGGAAGGGUUGUAGAUUAAUACUCUGCAAUUUUGACGUUACCGACAGAAUAAGCACCGGCUAACUCUGUGCCAGCAGCCGCGGUAAUACAGAGGGUGCAAGCGUUAAUCGGAAUUACUGGGCGUAAAGCGCGCGUAGGUGGUUCGUUAAGUUGGAUGUGAAAGCCCCGGGCUCAACCUGGGAACUGCAUUCAAAACUGACGAGCUAGAGUAUGGUAGAGGGUGGUGGAAUUUCCUGUGUAGCGGUGAAAUGCGUAGAUAUAGGAAGGAACACCAGUGGCGAAGGCGACCACCUGGACUGAUACUGACACUGAGGUGCGAAAGCGUGGGGAGCAAACAGGAUUAGAUACCCUGGUAGUCCACGCCGUAAACGAUGUCAAAUGGCCGUUGGAAUCCUUGAGACUUAGUGGCGCAGCUAACGCACUAAGUGACCCGCUUGGAAUUCGU
rnacentral:rRNA from 1 species